rnacentral:rRNA from 1 species
UACGUAGGGUGCGAGCGUUAAUCGGAAUUACUGGGCGUAAAGCGUGCGCAGGCGGUUUUGUAAGCCAGAUGUGAAAUCCCCGGGCUUAACCUGGGAAUGGCAUUUGGGACUGCAAGGCUUAAGUUUGGCAGAGGAGACUGGAAUUCCUGGUGUAGCAGUGAAAUGCGUAGAUAUCAGGAGGAAUACCGAUGGCGAAGGCAGGUCUCUGGGCUAGAACUGACGCUCAUGCACGAAAGCGUGGGGAGCAAACAGG